UCAUGAUCUUAUGACUUUGUGGCUCACAGUUCUGACUCACCCCCACAGUUUUAUGAAUGUAUUCUCCAAACAUAUAUAUUUUUUCAUUUCAGUGUUCCCCUUGUAAAUGUGGAACAUGGAUAGUUAGCGUCUACUCGAGCGCCCAACCAAAAAAAAAAAAACAACCCGGUGUUCAGAGUAAUGAGCUGUAGUUCAAAUGAGAACAGCCAUCUUCUCCUCCUCAGCAGGUCCAAUUUACUCCGGCACAUUAUCCCUGGCAAACCGGCAGCUGCGCCGAACGCUUCCGUGAAGGCACGUUGGAUAACACGAGCCCGGAAGGAUUAGGGGCUGACUCUCACUCCCGGGCGACACUAAAGCGCGCAUUAUUCAUCCCGGCCUCCGCCUCCGCCUCCUCACCCCUCGUCACCUUUUUCGCUCCCACCAGCCCACUGGCUCUGCGGCUCCCUCGUGACUCUCCCCGCACGUUCCUGACACUUGCAUAAGCUCACGGAACCUCUCUCCGGACCGCGGCGGCGGGAGCCGGGAGCCGCGACGGCGUUAAUUAAAAGAAAAGGUUAACACACACGAGGCCGGCAGGAGGCGCAUUCCGGGGGGGCUCCCUCGGCGGAGCAUCUGCUCGGUUCCCACCCUCGGAGCCGCCCCGCCUCCUUCGCCCUCCAGGAAAACUAGGACCCGGGUACCCGAGGACCCGAGCCAAGUUGAUGGGGUCCGACUGGGACGUAAAGGAUGAACCUAAAACUAAAGAGGCCGCUCCACGUGCUUCCGUUCACCUGUCCGGCCUGGGCCUUCUUGCUUGGGAGCUGACGAGUGUGUCCCAGAGAAGGUCUCACCUCCCUCAACACCGCACACACACACACACACACGCCUUCAUGAGACAGCGGGACAUGUGCCAGAUCCGAGUGUCAUCAAGGACAGGAGAAGCAGACAGAAAGGGAGUCAGCACAGCUCGGCGGAGAGCGAGAGAGAGGACGAGAGCGCAGCGGCUCCCCGGGGGACGACGUGGCCCGACGGGUUUGGUUUGUACGGCCGUCACACGCUUGUGAGGGGGGUGAACGCGAAUGGCUGCUCCUCUGAGGAGCAAGAGCUUCUGCCAUGUUUGCUGUCAUGUUCCAAGGUAUCGCAACCCGGCUUCAAACACAUCAAACAUAUCUACGGGAAUACUGAUAUUGGGAAUGCCGUGGGGAAAUGCACAGAAGGCAAGGAAAAAAGAAAAACACACGUGCCCACGUCUGUGCCCCGAGUAUGCAGCAACCACACAAAAAUACAGCCAUCAUUUUUUUUAAAAAAAGUUGUUUCCCCCCCCCCCCUUGUGUUACCAAAUGCAUGUAAAUACAUAGAUAUUCCAAAAUGUUAAUAGUACAGGGUUUUAAUCCAGGUCAUACGUUCGAAGAGAACACAGGACCCUCUGCAUAUUAUUACUGCAUCUCAAUUGCAUAAAAGAAGCUGUCAAUGUUUUCAGUCUUGUUUCCAUGGCAACAAUGCUAACAGUCUGGCAAAGAGACACAAUGUGCUUUGUUCACAUUUUGAGACACAAAGGUGAUGGACAGCUACAAAUUGAACAUUGACAAUGCAACAUUUCUUUUCUUUUUUUUGUCACGGUCGUUAGAAUCAGGAAGAAAAACAAGUUGACUGCCGAGUUUUUAACACCAGCCUGCCCGCCCGCCAGGUCUGCUCAAUUACGAUGUGCCGAUGCCUCAUGCUUCUAUGCAAUGCUCAUAUUCAUACAGCGUUUCUCUCUUUGCUGUAUCCUUGCAGGAAUACAAGGUCAUUUGUGUGGUAGUACUUCACAAUCAGUUUGCUCCACCUACAGGCUAAAUGAUGAAUGAAUAUAGUUGCUCUACCAGGGGUGUCCAAACUUUUUCUUCCAAGGGUGGCAUACUGAAAACUCGAAGGAGGCAAGGGCCAAUUUGACAUCUUUAAUUCAUUUUGCAAACUAAACCAAGACCAUCAGUUGUAUGUAAAGAUAUACAAAGCAAUAAUAUCCUGCAUUUAUUUUUACGUAUACUGUUUCUUGAAAAAUAAAAAUAGCUAGGUAGUAAAGCAAAAAAAAAAAAAAAAAAAAAAAUCAAUGAUUUUCAGGAUUUUUGGAGGGCAAGUGGCCAUGUAUCCCACAAGAAUCGAUCCACCUCUGCAGCAAAAUCACAUCUGCACAUUUACAACCAAAACACGAGCAUUCUGUACGGAGUUAACCUUGGCCUCACAUCUUACCGAAUGAUGUGUGAUUGGUUGAAAACAAGAAAGCGAGCGAUAAGAACAAACUUGUUCGUCUCUUCUCCUGCCUUGCCACUCAGUGUUAAGCACUGCAGUACAAUGCAGGCAAAUGACUCUGGCUGCGUCAAAUGUUUAUUUUAAUCUAUGCCGCAGGCCAGGGAAAAAAAAAACAAAAAACGGAUGGCGUCCCUCAAAUGGCCUCCGCGCCAUAUUUUGGACACCCCUGUUCUAUACGUUCAUUCAAUAUAGACAAAAAUUAAUCGACCUUCGAAUUACAUUUUUCAAUCAAAUAAAAAUCAGUAAGAAUGACAUGAUUUUAUUGCAUAUAUGUCCAGUAAUGGCGGCUCUGUGAAUGGGAAAAGUAAAGGAUAGAUAGGAUAGAUCGGGAAGUUCAUGAAGUUUCUCGACAACACUGAGGUAAAUACGACAACUCUCAGCAUUCUCACAGUAAUACGACGUCGAAGUCUUUUAAGACGGCUGUACUUGAUUUACGGAGCGCCAGCAAAAUGGAUUUGACUAGCAGAGCGGCCAUUUGACGAAGGCUCCUUUUGUUUGCCGUGCCUCAAAAGGCGUGAAGACGAGGGCGCGCGUCUCCGCGUCGAGGCCCGACUCGUGUGGACGUUGGACUGGAUUAGACGGCUGACAGCUGGGCCACAUCUCUGGAGGCUCCUGAGGGCCCCCCGCCCCACCACUUGCUGUCCGCCCGCCUGCGCACCAAGUGUCAAUUUGAGCAUGAAGGGAAGAUGGAGCGCGCCAAGGAAGUGAUUUGCAGAUGUCACCGCUGUCAUCGGCCUCAUCAAAGACGGUGACGAGUCUGCAUAUCGACAGGAAGCGGAGCGGCUGGAGCUGCGGUGCGGCCGACGCGACCUGGAGCUGAACACGCUCAAGACUGUAGAGAUGAUCGUGGACUUCAGGAGGUAUCCUUCGCCACAGCUGCCCCUCACACUGUCCAGCUGCCUUGUGUCAACCGUCGAGACCUUCGAGUUCCUGGGAAUUACAGUCUCUCAGGACCUGAAGUGGGCGGUCAACAUCAACCCCGUCCUCAAAAAGGCCCAGCAGAGGAUGUACUUCCUGCGGCUUCUGAAGACGCACGGCCUGCCACAGGAGCUGCUGAGGCAGUUCUACACAGCGGUCAUCGAAUCAGUCCUGUGUUCUUCCAUCACAGUCUGGUUUGGUGCUGCUACAAAAAAGGGCAAACUCCGACUGCAACGGACAAUCAAAACUGCUGAAAGGAUUGUCGGUACCCCCCUACCCAUCCUUGAGGACUUGCACGCUGCCAGAACUAAGACAAGAGCGUGCAAAAUCCUCUCGGACCCUCCACACUGGUCAUCAGCUCUUCCAGCUCCUUCCCUCAGGUAGGCGCUACCGAUCAAUGCAAACUAGAACUAGCAGACAUUCCAACAGCUUCUUCCCUCUUGCAAUCAACUUCUUAAACAGCUAACCUACAAUUCCUUUGCAACAUGCUGGCAAUUUUUUUGUCUCGAGUUUGUUGUCACAUUUCUGUCGGGCCAAUUAUGAAUUACUCGUGCACUCACUGUGGUAGUCUCGCCACGCUGCACUAUUUGCAUAUCUGUUGUUGAUCAAUACUGGCCACUCAUGCCAGAGUAGCAUCUGCACCACUUGCACACUGACUGAAGAGUAUCUGCAACAUUUGCACAAUCGACAUUGUCCCAGACUAUCGCACUACUCGCUUGAAGUCUUUGAACCCUUUGCACAAUGGCCAUUCAAACUGCUCUAAGUGCAAGAGGACUCUACAUCUUUUUGCACAAUUGUCAAAAAAUGUAAAAAAUGGUACCGGCAUUACCAGAUUACUAGCAAGCCUUUAUUGCUCAGUGACUGUUUUUCUCAACGUCUUUAUGUCUCAAAAGUGUUCGCUGUCAAUUGACUGACUGUCUGUCUGUUGUCGUACUAGAGCGGCUCCAACUACCGGAGACAAAUUCCUUGUGUGUUUUUUGGACAUACUUGGCAAAUAAAGAUGAUCCUGAUUUUGAUUUCAUCAAAAGUGAUUUACUGUAGCUAAAACCAUUUUUCUUUUCAUGAGAUCAAUAAGCGGUGGUUAAAGAAACAUAUCAGGUAGGCGGGGAGGCUCGAAACGCUCUAUUACCAGUUGCAUUUUUUUCACCAUCAAAGGGACAUUCUGUGCUAACUACACACUCGCAGCAACCAGACAGUGUGGCCCACCAGCAGCUCUCUCUCACACACACACGCACAUGCACACACACACACUAUGCCACCUCGUUGCACAAGUAGCAUGGCGUAGAUGAGCGUUUCUUUGUUGUUGUUGUUGUUUUUUUUUAUACUCCUUUUCUUAUCCUUUCUGGUUUGAAGGCGAGCGUCCAAUUACAGCUCUAUUGCUAAUCAAUGCGAGACGUUAGGGCGUGUAUAAAUCACACUCCGCCGCACGGCUCGUUAACACGGGAAAGCCGCUGGGGGACGAGUGAGCCGAGCAAACAAUGUGACGCUCGGGCUCAACAAUGGAGACCAAAACACCAUUAUCACGUCCACAGAGCAGAUUCAUUGGACAGAUCGGCUGCCAUUUAGUCUGAAUGUUUGGCAUUUUAAAGACGUUGUCGGGAAUAAUUGUUUGUUUGCAGCCGGUCUACUGUUUUGAACCUACUGUGCUGAAUACCGAUUAAAUGUGUUCAAAUUCCCAGCCGCGUCAAGCAGUUGUGGGACCUCCAAAGUCGAACGCCCCCCAAACCGGAACAAUUUGGAGUUUAGCCAAUAUUAUUCUUCUGACAAAAUACGCAAACGAUUAAAAAUGAUGACGUCAGAAGCACUGACCUCCAUUUACAACCUCAAUUCUACUACUUGUUCCAUGAAGUUGUAUUCAUUUAUGCCCAACAGUUUAUUCACUUUCGUAGCAUUUCUCUUGGCUGUACUGUUUCCAGUACAUGUAUGCGGAUGCUAGAUCGAUUGUCCACUCAGAUUUCAGCCUCUACGUGCUGCCAAGUCAAAUUAAUCUGCCCAGGGCCUUCAGAAUCAGUAGU